AGCAGCCGCGGUAAUUCCAGCUCCAAUAGCGUAUAUUAAAGUUGUUGCAGUUAAAAAGCUCGUAGUUGAAUUUCAGGCCUGGCUGGGCGGUCCGCCUUUUGGGUGAGUACUGCCUGUGGUCGGGUCCUACCUUCUGGCGAAGCGUCAUGGCCUUAACCGGCCGUGGCGGGGAACCAGGACUUUUACUGUGAAAAAAUUAGAGUGUUCAAAGCAGGCAGUCGCUUGAAUACAUUAGCAUGGAAUAAUGGAAUAGGACAGUGGUUCUAUUUGUUGGUUUCUAGGACCGUUGUAAUGAUUAAUAGGGAUAGUUGGGGGCAUUAGUAUUCAAUUGUCAGAGGUGAAAUUCUUGGAUUUAUUGAAGACUAACUACUGCGAAAGCAUUUGCCAAGGAUGUUUUCAUUAAUCAAGAACGAAAGUUAGGGGAUCGAAGACGAUCAGAUACCGUCGUAG
rnacentral:rRNA from 1 species